GCUGCAAACUAAGCUAUCGUCUUCCCGCUUUGCAGGAGGAAGGAAAGUCCGGACAGCACAGAGCAGCCCACCGGUGAAGAGCCGGGUCACACCGCAGGUGUGAACAGAUAGUGCCACAGAAAAUAACUUUUCAGUCGAAAGACUGGAUAAAGGUGAAAAUGUGAGGUAAGAGCUCACAACGAUUCAUGGUAACAUGCUUCGUGGGUAAACCUUGGGUGCUGAAAUGCCACGUAUAGUAACGUUUGAGAAUAGCUCGUUCGAGUUACAGGGUAGGCAGAAACAGGUGAACAGUAAUGUUCAUCGCAGAUAAAUGAUAGCUCCCGACAGAAUCCGGCUUACAGGUUUGCAGCUUUU
rnacentral:RNase_P_RNA from 1 species